AUUGAAAAGAUUGUUGACAAAAGGAAAAAUUAAAAAGGGAAGACAGAGUAUUUGGUUCAGUGAAAAGGCUACAACAGCGAGGACGACACUUGGGAACCAGAGCAGCACCUCGUGAACUGUCAGGAAUACAUCCACGACUUCAACAGACACCACACGGAAAGGCAGAAAGAGAGCACAUUGACCAGAACAAACAGGUCCUCUCCCAACAAUGCUAGGAAACAAAUCUCCAGAUCCACAAACAGCAGCUUUUCUAAGUCCUCUCCUAAGGCACCAGUGAUUGGGAGAGAUCACGAAUCCAAAAACAGCCAGCUGUUUGCUGCCAGCCAGCAGUUCAGGAAGAACACAGCUCCGUCUCUCUGCAGCCAGAUGAAAAUGGACCUAGUGAAGUCAGGUAUCAAGAUCCUCAUGCCUAAGAGCCCCAUUAAGCAGGACGCAGUGAAUGGCUUUCAGAGUGAGAGCUCCAAAAAACUGGACCCCACAGAGCAGGGUCAGGAGGAAUGGUAGUACCCAAAGUGGCAGCGGAAAAGCCAGACAAAGCUUUAUUGGGCCCUGGUACUGAGCAGGCCAGGAUGGGGAGCAAGCCUGGAUACACCUGCUAGUGCCUCAGGUGCAUGGCCCCGUAAGUGCAGCCAUGGCCACAGGCCUACUCGUUAACAGGAAAGCUACAUCUACAUUCAUGGAUGCAUUAACAGCCAGUGGGACAACCAACAUACAGACAUCUGUUACAGCAGUAACUGUCAGCAAAAGGAAAUUUAUUGACAACAGAAGAGAACAGCCUUUUAACAAACGAUUGCAUUUCAGUGUGAGGCAAACAGAAAGUGCCUAAGGAUACAGAGUUAUUGUGGCCGGGACAAAAGAUGGCUUCACCCACAUCUUAUUCACUAGAUCAACAGGGAAUAACUCAGUAAAUACAGCUGUAAUGAAAAAAGUCUACCAGCUCUGACAACCACUGCUGAUUACAGCAAGCUUGUACUGCUCAGCGCCUUUAACAGUGUCUUCUGUUGUGGACUUGACUUUAUUUAUUUUAUGCAGUGUUUGACAGAUGACAGAAAAAGAGAAAGCAUUAAAAUGGGAGAACCUAUCAGAAACGUCGUGAAUAAUCUAUGGCCAUAUCACUCUGAAAGUGACAGAAAAAAAGAAAGUGUUAAAUAGGCAGAAGCUAACAGAAACUUCGUGAAUAAUCCCUGGCCAUACCACCCGAAAUAGGCACGAUUUCUUCGGAUAUCAGAAGCUAAGCAGUAUCUGCCCUGUAUAGUGCAUGGACACAAGGAACUUUGUGAAUACUAUUACUCCGUUCAAAAAACCUGUUACUGAAGUAAAAGAAGUUAUCUGAAACAUCAUGAAUAAUCUAUGACCAUACGACCCUGAAUAUGAUACAAAAAGAGAAAGCAUUAAAAUGGCAGAAGAGAAGCUACCAGAAACGUCGUACAUAAUCUACGGCCAUAGCACAGUGAACGCUCCAAUCUCAUCUGGUCACUGAAGUACAGAGUACACGAGAUUGCGCCCAGGGUACGGCCUCUUCAGUACUUGGAUGGGAGGAACUUCGUGAAGGCUAUCAUUUCACUCAAACUGAAUAUUAUUGAAGCAGUCACUAUCCCAGCCAUUCGACUAGAAGCAUCCGUAUUGCCCCUUUAUGAUAUGGUUUAGGCUAAUCAAAAGACUUGGUUUCCAACAACCUCUUCUACCUCUGAGCAGAUUCCAGACAGCUGAUUUACCAUUACGUUUCCGAAAUCAUGGGACGACCAGCUGCAAGCGAGACGAUGCUCAGUGGGUUGAAACUGAUCACACAGAAGGCAUUUGGCAACGGCCUUCUCUCCCAGCUGUUUGGGUCCUGGACCUUCACUCAGGAAAUUGGUGGCUCAGAUCAAGAAGCUUGUCUCAUGUAAUCGAAUAGUGCUGGAGGAAUCCAAAGCCUUGGUGUGCUGCAACAUGAAGAGGGAUCUGGAACAGGCCAACGAGAGAACAUGUGAAGUACUGAAGAAAAUCUGGGGUUCUGCCCAAGGGUUGGACUCCAUGUGAAAGGACUUAGAAAGGAAGAUGAAUGAGUUUCGAGUGUCAGGCUGCACACGGACCACAUCGGGUUCCAGCUGAGAAGAACACCAUUGCUUCCAUCUGUCCUUAUCCAUUCUCACAGCCUGAAACAAGCUCACUGGUAGCUUAUGCUUGCAAGCAGGACUGGGAACAUUCACGCUAUUUAUUCGGGAGUACUGACUCCAGAAAGUACAGCAACCUUGGACUGCUCAGCGCCAUUGGUAGGGUCUUCCGUGGUGCACUUGGCCUUAUUUAUUUUUUACGACAUUUGACAGAGGACAGAGAGAGAGCAAGCAUUAAAACGGCAGAAGCUACUGGAAACGUCGUGAGCAAUCUACAGUCAUACCACCGUGAACGCUCCCAAUCUUGUCUGGUCUCUGAAGUACAGAGUAGAUGCGAUUGGGCCCAGGUUGGGGCCUGUUUCAUUGUUGGAUAGAAGGAACUUCCUGAAUGCUUUGUUCCGCUUAAGCUGCGUAUUGUUGAAGCACUCAAUGGCCCAGCCAUUCGACUAGGAGCAUCCGUAUUGCCUCUUUGUGAUAUGGUUUAGGCUAAUGAAAAGACUUGGUUUCCAACACCCUCUUCUACCUCUGGGCAGAUUCCAGAUAGCUGAUCUACCAUUACGUUUCCGAAAUCAUGGGACGACCAGCUGCAAGCGAGACGAUGCUCACUGGGUUGAAACUGAUCACACAGGAGGCAUUUGGCAACAGCCUUCUCUCCCAGCUGUUUGGAUCCUGGACCUUCAAUCAGGAAAUUGGUGGCUCAGAUCAAGAAGCUUGUCUCAUGUAAUCGAAUAGUGCUGGAGGAAUCCAAAGCCUUGGUGUGCUGCAACAUGAAGAGGGAUCUGGAACAGGCCAACGAGAGAACAUGUGAAGUACUGAAGAAAAUCUGGGGUUCUGCCCAAGGGUUGGACUCCAUGUGAAAGGACUUAGAAAGGAAGAUGAAUGAGUUUCGAGUGUCAGGCUGCACACUGACCACAUCGGGAUCCAGCUGAGAAGAACACCAUUGCUUCCGGCUGUCCUUCUUCAUUCUCACAGCCUGAAACAAGCUCACUGGUAGCUUAUGCUUGCAAGCAGGACCGGGAACAUUCACGCUAUUUAUUCGGGAGUACUCUGGAUAAAUCAUCCCAUUAUUUUGGAAAUGUAAUGCUAGGUCAGGUAUCUGGAAUCUUCCUGGAGGUAGAAGAGGGUAUUGGAUGGAAGGAACUUCGUGAAUGCGAUCAUUGAACUCCAGAAAGUACACCAACCUUGUACUGCUCAGGGCCUUAGGUAGGGUCUUCUGUGGCGCACUUGACCUUAUUUAUGUUUUACAACGUUUGACAGAGGACAGAAAGAGAGCAAGCAUUAAAAGGGCAAAAGCUACCAGAAACAUCGUGAACAAUCUACAGCCAUACCACCGUGAACGCUCCCAAUCUCGUCUGGCCUCUGAAGUACAGAGUAGAGGAGAUUGGGCCCAGGUAGGGGCCUGUUUCAUAGUUGGAUGGAAGGAACUUUGUGAAUGCUAUCAUUUAACUUAAGCUGUCUAUUACUAAACAAGUCAGCCGCCCAGCCAUUCGACUAGGAGCAUCCGUAUUGCCUCUUUGUGAUAUGGUUUAGGCUAAUGAAAAGACUUGGUUUCCAACACCCUCUUCUACCUCUGAGCAGAUCCCACAUAGCUGAUCUACCAUUACGUUUCCGAAAUCAUGGGACGACCAGCUGCAAGCGAGACGAUGCUCACUGGGUUGAAACUGAUCACUCAGGAGGCAGUUGGCAACGGCCUUCUCUCCCAGCUGUUUGAGUCCUGGACCUUCACUUAGGAAAUUGGUGGCUCAGAUCAAGAAGCUUGUCUCAUGUAAUCGAAUAGUGCUGGAGGAAUCCAAAGCCUUGGUGUGCUGCAACAUGAAGAGGCAUCUGGAACAGGCCAACGAGAGAACAUGUGAAGUACUGAAGAAAAUCUGGGGUUGUGCCCAAGGGUUGGACUCCAUGUGAAAGGACUUAGAAAGGAAGAUGAAUGAGUUUCCAUUGUCAGGCUGCACACUGACCACAUCGGGUUCCGGCUGAGAAGAACACCAUUGCUUCCAUCUGUCCUUAUCCAUUCUCACAGCCUGAAACAAGCUCACUGGUAGCUUAUGCUUGCCAGCAGGACUGGGAACAUUCACGCUAUUUAUUCGGGAGUACUGACUCCAGAAAGUACAGCAACCUUGGACUGCUCAGCGCCAUUGGUACGGUCUUCCGUGGUGCACUUGGCCUUAUUUAUUUUUUACGACAUUUGACAGAGUGCAGAGAGAGAGCAAGCAUAAAAACGGCAGAAGCUACUGGAAACGUCCUGAACAAUCUACAGUCAUACCACCGUGAACGCUCCCAAUAUUGUUUGGUCUCUGAAGUACAGAGUAGAUGCGAUUGGGCCCAGGUUGGGGCCUGUUUCAUUGUUGGAUAGAAGGAACUUCCUGAAUGCUUUGUUCCGCUUAAGCUGCGUAUUGUUGAAGCACUCAAUGGCCCAGCCAUUCGACCAGGAGCAUCCGUAUUGCCUCUUUGUGUUAUGGUUUAGGCUAAUGAAAAGACUUGGUUUCCAACACCCUCUUCUACCUCUGGGCAGAUUCCAGAUAGCUGAUCUACCAUUACGUUUCCGAAAUCAUGGGACGACCAGCUGCAAGUGAGACGAUGCUCAGUGGGUUGAAACUGAUCACACAGGAGGCAUUUGGCAACGGCCUUCUCUCCCAGCUGUUUGGAUCCUGGACCUUCACUCAGGAAAUUGGUGGCUCAGAUCAAGAAGCUUGUCUCAUGUAAUCGAAUAGUGCUGGAGGAAUCCAAAGCCUUGGUGUGCUGCAACAUGAAGAGGGAUCUGGAACAGGCCAACGAGAGAACAUGUGAAGUACUGAAGAAAAUCUGGGGUUCUGCCCGAGGGUUGGACUCCAUGUGAAAGGACUUAGAAAGGAAGAUGAACGAGUUUCGAGUGUCAGGCUGCACAAUGACCACAUGGGGUUCCGGCUGAGAAGAACACCAUUGCUUCCACCUGUCCUUAUCCAUUCUCACAGCCUGAGACAAGCUCACUGGUAGCUUAUGCUUGCAAGCAGGACUAGGAACAUUCACGCUAUUUAUUCGGGAGUACUGACUCCAGAAAAUACAGGAAGCUUGGACUGCUCGGCGCCAUUGGUAGGGUCUUCCGUGGUGCACUUGGGUUAUUUAUUUUUUACGACAUUUGACAGAGGACAGAGAGAGAGCAAGCAUUCAAACGGCAGAAGCUACUGGAAACGUCGUGAACAAUCUAUAGUCAUACCACCGUGAACGCUCCCAAUCUUGUCUGGUCUCUGAAGUACAGAGUAGAUGCGAUUGGGCCCAGGUUCGGGCCUGUUUCAUUGUUGGAUAGAAGGAACUUCCUGAAUGCUAUUGUUCAGCUUAAGCUGCGUAUUGUUGAAGCACUCAAUGGCCCAGCCAUUCGAAUAGGAGCAUCCGUAUUGCCUCUUUGUGAUAUGGUUUAGGCUAAUGAAAAUACUUGGUUUCCAACACCCUCUUCUACCUCUGGGCAGAUUCCAGAUAGCUGAUCUACCAUUACGUUUCCGAAAUCAUGGGACGACCAGCUGCAAGUGAGACGAUGCUCAGUGGGUUGAAACUGAUCACACAGGGGGCAUUUGGCAACGGCCUUCUCUCCCAGCUGUUUGGAACCUGGACCUUCACUCAGGAAAUUGGUGGCUCAGAUCAAGAAGCUUGUCUCAUGUAAUCGAAUAUUGCUGGAGGAAUCCAAAGCCUUGGUGUGCUGCAACAUGAAGAGGGAUCUGGAACAGGCCAACGAGAGAACAUGUGAAGUACUGAAGAAAAUCUGGGGUUCUGCCCGAGGGUUGGACUCCAUGUGAAAGGACUUAGAAAGGAAGAUGAACGAGUUUCGAGUGUCAGGCUGCACACUGACCACAUGGGGUUCCGGCUGAGAAGAACACCAUUGCUUCCAACUGUCCUUAUCCAUUCUCACAGCCUGAGACAAGCUCACUGGUAGCUUAUGCUUCCAAGCAGGACUAGGAACAUUCACGCUAUUUAUUCGGGAGUACUGACUCCAGAAAGUACAGGAAGGUUGGACUACUCGGCGCCAUUGGUAGGGUCUUCCGUGGUGCACUUGGCCUUAUUUAUUUUUUACGACAUUUGACAGAGGGCAGAGAGAGAGCAAGCAUUAAAACGGCAGAAGCUACUGGAAACGUCGUGAGCAAUCAACAGUCAUACCACCGUGAACGCUCCCAAUCUUGUCUGGUCUCUGAAGUACAGAGUAGAUGCGAUUGGGCCCAGGUUCGGGCCUGUUUCAUUGUUGGAUAGAAGGAACUUCCUGAAUGCUUUGUUCAGCUUAAGCUGCGUAUUGUUGAAGCACUCAAUGGCCCAGCCAUUCGACUAGGAGCAUCCGUAUUGCCUCUUUGUGAUAUGGUUUAGGCUAAUGAAAAGACUUGGUUUCCAACACCCUCUUCUACCUCUGAGCAGAUCCCACAUAGCUGAUCUACCAUUACGUUUCCGAAAUCAUGGGACGACCAGCUGCAAGCGAGAUGAUGCUCAGUGGGUUGAAACUGAUCACACAGGAGGCAUUUGGCAACGGCCUUCUCUCCCAGCUGUUUGGAUCCUGGACCUUCACUCAGGAAAUUGGUGGCUCAGAUCAAGAAGCUUGUCUCAUGUAAUCGAAUAGUGCUGGAGGAAUCCAAAGCCUUCGUGUGCUGCAACAUGAAGAGGGAUCUGGAACAGGCCAACGAGAGAACAUGUGAAGUACUGAAGAAAAUCUGGGGUUCUGCCCAAGGGUUGGACUCCAUGUGAAAGGACUUAGAAAGGAAGAUGAACGAGUUUCGAGUGUCAGGCUGCACACUGACCACAUGGGGUUCCGGCUGAGAAGAACACCAUUGCUUCCACCUGUCCUUAUCCAUUCUCACAGCCUGAGACAAGCUCACUGGUAGCUUAUGCUUCCAAGCAGGACUAGGAACAUUCACGCUAUUUAUUCGGGAGUACUGACUCCAGAAAGUACAGGAAGCUUGGACUGCUCGGCGCCAUUGGUAGGGUCUUCCGUGGUGUACUUGGCCUUAUUUAUUUUUUACGACAUUUGACAGAGGGCAGAGAGAGAGCAAGCAUUAAAACGGCAGAAGCUACUGGAAACGUCGUGAGCAAUCUACAGUCAUACCACCGUGAACGCUCCCAAUCUUGUCUGGUCUCUGAAGUACAGAGUAGAUGCGAUUGGGCCCAGGUUCGGGCCUGUUUCAUUGUUGGAUAGAAGGAACUUUCUGAAUGCUUUGUUCCGCUUAAGCUGUGUAUUGUUGAAGCACUCAAUGGCCCAGCCAUUCGACUAGGAGCAUCCGUAUUGCCUCUUUGUGAUAUGGUUUAGGCUAAUGAAAAGACUUGGUUUCCAACACCCUCUUCUACCUCUGGGCAGAUUCCAGAUAGCUGAUCUACCAUUACGUUUCCGAAAUCAUGGGACGACCAGCUGCAAGCGAGACGAUGCUCAGUGGGUUGAAACUGAUCACACAGGAGGCAUUUGGCAACGGCUUUCUCUCCCAGCUGUUUGGAUCCUGGACCUUCACUCAGGAAAUUGGUGGCUCAGAUCAAGAAGCUUGUCUCAUGUAAUCGAAUAGUGCUGGAGGAAUCCAAAGCCUUGGUGUGCUGCAACAUGAAGAGGGAUCUGGAACAGGCCAACGAGAGAACAUGUGAAGUACUGAAGAAAAUCUGGGGUUCUGCCCAAGGGUUGGACUCCAUGUGAAAGGAUUUAGAAAGGAAGAUGAACGAGUUUCGAGUGUCAGGCUGCACAGUGACCACAUCGGGUUCCAGCUGAGAAGAACACCAUUCCUUCCGGGUGUCCUUAUCCAUUCUCACAGCCUGAAACAAGCUCACUGGUAGCUUAUGCUUGUAAGCAGGACCGGGAACAUUCACGCUAUUUAUUCGGGAGUACUCUGGAUAAAUCGUUCCAUUAUUUCGGAAAUGUAAUGCUAGGUCAGGUAUCUGGAAUCUUCCUGGAGGUAGAAGAGCGUAUUGGAUGGAAGGAACUUCGUGAAUGCGAUCAUUGAACUCCAGAAAGUACACCAAGCUUGUACUGCUCGGGGCCUUAGGUAGGGUCUUCUGUGGCGCACUUGACCUUAUUUAUGUUUUACAACGUUUGACAGAGGACAGAAAGAGAGCAAGCAUUAAAAGGGCAAAAGCUACCAGAAACAUCGUGAACAAUCUACAGCCAUACCACCGUGAACGCUCCCAAUCUCGUCUGGCCUCUGAAGUACAGAGUAGAGGAGAUUGGGCCCAGGUAGGGGCCUGUUUCAUAGUUGGAUGGAAGGAACUUUGUGAAUGCUAUCAUUUAACUUAAGCUGUCUAUUACUAAACCAGUCAGCCGCCCAGCCAUUCGACUAGGAGCAUCCGUAUUGCCUCUUUGUGAUAUGGUUUAGGCUAAUGAAAAGACUUGGUUUCCAACACCCUCUUCUACCUCUGGGCAGAUUCCAGAUAGCUGAUCUACCAUUACGUUUCCGAAAUCAUGGGACGACCAGCUGCAAGUGAGACGAUGCUCAGUGGGUUGAAACUGAUCACUCAGGAGGCAUUUGGCAACGGCCUUCUCUCCCAGCUGUUUGGAUCCUGGACCUUCACUCAGGAAAUUGGUGGCUCAGAUCAAGAAGCUUGUCUCAUGUAAUCGAAUAGUGCUGGAGGAAUCCAAAGCCUUGGUGUGCUGCAACAUGAAGACGGAUCUGGAACAGGCCAACGAGAGAACAUGUGAAGUACUGAAGAAAAUCUGGGGUUCUGCCCAAGGGUUGGACUCCAUGUGAAAGGACUUAGAAAGGAAGAUGAACGAGUUUCGAGUGUCAGGCUGCACACUGACCACAUCGGGUUCCGGCUGAGAAGAACACCAUUGCUUCCAUCUGUCCUUAUCCAUUCUCACAGCCUGAGACAAGCUCACUGGUAGCUUAUGCUUGCAAGCAGGACUGGGAACAUUCACGCUAUUUAUUCGGGAGUACUGACUCCAGAAAGUACAGCAACCUUGGACUGCUCAGCGCCAUUGGUACGGUCUUCCGUGGUGCACUUGGCCUUAUUUAUUUUUUACGACAUUUGACAGAGGACAGAGAGAGAGCAAGCAUUAAAACGGCAGAAGCUACUGGAAACGUCGUGAACAAUCUACAGUCAUACCACCGUGAACGCUCCCAAUCUUGUCUGGUCUCUGAAGUACAGAGUAGAUGCGAUUGGGUCCAGGUUCGGGCCUGUUUCAUUGUUGGAUAGAAGGAACUUCCUGAAUGCUAUUGUUCAGCUUAAGCUGCGUAUUGUUGAAGCACUCAAUGGCCCAGCCAUUCGACUAGGAGCAUCCGUAUUGCCUCUUUGUGAUAUGGUUUAGGCUAAUGAAAAGACUUGGUUUCCAACACCCUCUUCUACCUCUGGGCAGAUUCCAGAUAGCUGAUCUACCAUUACGUUUCCGAAAUCAUGGGACGACCAGCUGCAAGUGAGACGAUGCUCAGUGGGUUGAAACUGAUCACUCAGGAGGCAUUUGGCAACGGCCUUCUCUCCCAGCUGUUUGGAUCCUGGACCUUCACUCAGGAAAUUGGUGGCUCAGAUCAAGAAGCUUGUCUCAUGUAAUCGAAUAUUGCUGGAGGAAUCCAAAGCCUUGGUGUGCUGCAACAUGAAGAGGGAUCUGGAACAGGCCAACGAGAGAACAUGUGAAGUACUGAAGAAAAUCUGGGGUUCUGCCCGAGGGUUGGACUCCAUGUGAAAGGACUUAGAAAGGAAGAUGAACGAGUUUCGAGUGUCAGGCUGCACACUGACCACACGGGGUUCCGGCUGAGAAGAACACCAUUGCUUCCACCUGUCCUUAUCCAUUCUCACAGCCUGAGACAAGCUCACUGGUAGCUUAUGCUUCCAAGCAGGACUAGGAACAUUCACGCUAUUUAUUCGGGAGUACUCUGGAUAAAUCGUCCCAUUAUUUCGGAAAUGUAAUGCUAGGUCAGGUAUCUGGAAUCUUCCUGGAGGUAGAAGAGGGUAUUGGAUGGAAGGAACUUCAUGAAUGCGAUCAUUGAACUCCAGAAAGUACACCAACCUUGUACUGCUCAGGGCCUUAGGUAGGGUCUUCUGUGGUGCACUUGACCUUAUUUAUGUUUUACAACGUUUGUCAGAGGACAGAAAGAGAACAAGCAUUAAAAGGGCAAAAGCUACCAGAAACAUCGUGAACAACCUACACCCAUACCACUGUGAACGCUCCCAAUCUCGUCUGGCCUCUGAUGUACAGAGUAGAGGAGAUUGGGCCCAGGUAGGGGCCUGUUUCAUAGUUGGAUGGAAGGAACUUUGUGAAUGCUAUCAUUUAACUUAAGCUGUCUAUUACUAAAGCAGUCAACAGCCCAGCCGUUCGACUAGGAGCACCCAUAUUGCCUCUUUGUGAUAUGGUUUUGGCUAAUGAAAAGACUUGGUUUCCAACACCCUCUUCUACCUCUGGGCAGAUUCCAGAUAGCUGAUCUACCAUUACGUUUCCGAAAUCAUGGGACGACCAGCUGCAAGCGAGACGAUGCUCAGUGGGUUGAAACUGAUCACACAGGAGGCAUUUGGCAACGGCCUUCUCUCCCAGCUGUUUGGAUCCUGGACCUUCAAUCAGGAAAUUGGUGGCUCAGAUCAAGAAGCUUGUCUCAUGUAAUCGAAUAGUGCUGGAGGAAUCCAAAGCCUUGGUGUGCUGCAACAUGAAGAGGGAUCUGGAACAGGCCAACGAGAGAACAUGUGAAGUACUGAAGAAAAUCUGGGGUUCUGCCCAAGGGUUGGACUCCAUGUGAAAGGACUUAGAAAGGAAGAUGAAUGAGUUUCGAGUGUCAGGCUGCACACUGACCACAUCGGGUUCCAGCUGAGAAGAACACCAUUGCUUCCGGCUGUCCUUAUCCAUUCUCACAGCCUGAAACAAGCUCACUGGUAGCUUAUGCUUGCAAGCAGGACCGAGAACAUUCACGCUAUUUAUUCGGGAGUACUCUGGAUAAAUCGUCCCAUUAUUUCGGAAAUGUAAUGCUAGGUCAGGUAUCUGGAAUGUUCCUGGAGGUAGAAGAGGGUAUUGGAUGGAAGGAACUUCGUGAAUGCGAUCAUUGAACUCCAGAAAGUACAACAACCUUGUACUGCUCAGGGCCUUAGGUAGGGUCUUCUGUGGCGCACUUGACCUUAUUUAUGUUUUACAACGUUUGACAGAGGACAGAAAGAGAGCAAGCAUUAAAAGGGCAAAAGCUACCAGAAACAUCGUGAACAAUCUACAGCCAUACCACCGUGAACGCUCCCAAUCUCGUCUGGCCUCUGAAGUACAGAGUAGAGGAGAUUGGGCCCAGGUAGGGGCCUGUUUCAUAGUUGAAUGGAAGGAACUUUGUGAAUGCUAUCAUUUAACUUAAGCUGUCUAUUACUAAACCAGUCAGCUGCCCAGCCAUUCGACUAGGAGCAUCCGUAUUGCCUCUUUGUGAUAUGGUUUAGGCUAAUGAAAAGACUUGGUUUCCAACACCCUCUUCUACCUCUGAGCAGAUCCCAGAUAGCUGAUCUACCAUUACGUUUCCGAAAUCAUGGGACGACCAGCUGCAAGCGAGACGAUGCUCAGUGGGUUGAAACUGAUCACUCAGGAGGCAUUUGGCAACGGCCUUCUCUCCCAGCUGUUUGAGUCCUGGACCUUCACUCAGGAAAUUGGUGGCUCAGAUCAAGAAGCUUGUCUCAUGUAAUCGAAUAGUGCUGAAGGAAUCCAAAGCCUUGGUGUGCUGCAACAUGAAGAGGGAUCUGGAACAGGCCAACGAGAGAACAUGUGAAGUACUGCAGAAAAUCUGGGGCUCUGCUCAAGGGUUGGACUCCAUGUGAAAGUACUUACACAGGAAGAUGAAUGAGUUU
rnacentral:lncRNA from 1 species